AUGAACGCUGGCGGCGUGCCUAAUACAUGCAAGUCGAGCGCACGGACGAGAAGCUUGCUUCUCUGAUGUUAGCGGCGGACGGGUGAGUAACACGUGGAUAACCUACCUAUAAGACUGGGAUAACUUCGGGAAACCGGAGCUAAUACCGGAUAAUAUUUUGAACCGCAUGGUUCAAAAGUGAAAGACGGUCUUGCUGUCACUUAUAGAUGGAUCCGCGCUGCAUUAGCUAGUUGGUAAGGUAACGGCUUACCAAGGCAACGAUGCAUAUCCGACCUGAGAGGGUGAUCGGCCACACUGGAACUGAGACACGGUCCAGACUCCUACGGGAGGCAGCAGUAGGGAAUCUUCCGCAAUGGGCGAAAGCCUGACGGAGCAACGCCGCGUGAGUGAUGAAGGUCUUCGGAUCGUAAAACUCUGUUAUUAGGGAAGAACAUAUGUGUAAGUAACUGUGCACAUCUUGACGGUACCUAAUCAGAAAGCCACGGCUAACUACGUG
rnacentral:rRNA from 1 species